GUUGGGUAGGGGAGCGUUCUGUAAGCCUGUGAAGGUGGCCUGUGAGGGUUGCUGGAGGUAUCAGAAGUGCGAAUGCUGACAUAAGUAACGAUAAAGCGGGUGAAAAGCCCGCUCGCCGGAAGACCAAGGGUUCCUGUCCAACGUUAAUCGGGGCAGGGUGAGUCGACCCCUAAGGCGAGGCCGAAAGGCGUAGUCGAUGGGAAACGGGUUAAUAUUCCCGUACUUGGUGUUACUGCGAAGGGGGGACGGAGAAGGCUAUGUUGGCCGGGCGACGGUUGUCCCGGUUUAAGCGUGUAGGUGUGUGUUCCAGGUAAAUCCGGUUCACUUUAACACUGAGGCGUGACGACGAGGCACUACGGUGCUGAAGCAACAAAUGCCCUGCUUCCAGGAAAAGCCUCUAAGCAUCAGGUAACAUCAAAUCGUACCCCAAACCGACACAGGUGGUCAGGUAGAGAAUACCAAGGCGCUUGAGAGAACUCGGGUGAAGGAACUAGGCAAAAUGGUGCCGUAACUUCGGGAGAAGGCACGCUGACACGUAGGUGAAGUGAUUUACUCAUGGAGCUGAAGUCAGUCGAAGAUACCAGCUGGCUGCAACUGUUUAUUAAAAACACAGCACUGUGCAAACACGAAAGUGGACGUAUACGGUGUGACGCCUGCCCGGUGCCGGAAGGUUAAUUGAUGGGGUCAGCGCAAGCGAAGCUCCUGAUCGAAGCCCCGGUAAACGGCGGCCGUAACUAUAACGGUCCUAAGGUAGCGAAAUUCCUUGUCGGGUAAGUUCCGACCUGCACGAAUGGCGUAAUGAUGGCCAGGCUGUCUCCACCCGAGACUCAGUGAAAUUGAACUCGCUGUGAAGAUGCAGUGUACCCGCGGCAAGACGGAAAGACCCCGUGAACCUUUACUAUAGCUUGACACUGAACAUUGAGCCUUGAUGUGUAGGAUAGGUGGGAGGCUUUGAAGUGUGGACGCCAGUCUGCAUGGAGCCGACCUUGAAAUACCACCCUUUAAUGUUUGAUGUUCUAACGUGGACCCGUGAUCCGGGUUGCGGACAGUGUCUGGUGGGUAGUUUGACUGGGGCGGUCUCCUCCUAAAGAGUAACGGAGGAGCACGAAGGUUGGCUAAUCCUGGUCGGACAUCAGGAGGUUAGUGCAAUGGCAUAAGCCAGCUUGACUGCGAGCGUGACGGCGCGAGCAGGUGCGAAAGCAGGUCAUAGUGAUCCGGUGGUUCUGAAUGGAAGGGCCAUCGCUCAACGGAUAAAAGGUACUCCGGGGAUAACAGGCUGAUACCGCCCAAGAGUUCAUAUCGACGGCGGUGUUUGGCACCUCGAUGUCGGCUCAUCACAUCCUGGGGCUGAAGUAGGUCCCAAGGGUAUGGCUGUUCGCCAUUUAAAGUGGUACGCGAGCUGGGUUUAGAACGUCGUGAGACAGUUCGGUCCCUAUCUGCCGUGGGCGCUGGAGAACUGAGGGGGGCUGCUCCUAGUACGAGAGGACCGGAGUGGACGCAUCACUGGUGUUCGGGUUGUCAUGCCAAUGGCACUGCCCGGUAGCUAAAUGCGGAAGAGAUAAGUGCUGAAAGCAUCUAAGCACGAAACUUGCCCCGAGAUGAGUUCUCCCUGAGACUUAGAGUCUCCUGAAGGAACGUUGAAGACGACGACGUUGAUAGGCCGGGUGUGUAAGCGCAGCGAUGCGUUGAGCUAACCGGUACUAAUGAACCGUGAGGCUUAACCUUACAACGCCGAAG
rnacentral:rRNA from 2 species